AGAGUUUGAUCCUGGCUUAGGAUGAACGCUGGCGGCGUGCCUAACACAUGCAAGUCGAGCGAUUCUCUUCGGAGAAGAGCGGCGGACGGGUGAGUAACGCGUGGGUAACCUGCCCUGUACACACGGAUAACAUACCGAAAGGUAUGCUAAUACGGGAUAAUAUGUUUUGAUCGCAUGGUCGAAAUAUCAAAGCUCCGGCGGUACAGGAUGGACCCGCGUCUGAUUAGCUAGUUGGUGAGGUAAUGGCUCACCAAGGCGACGAUCAGUAGCCGACCUGAGAGGGUGAUCGGCCACAUUGGAACUGAGACACGGUCCAAACUCCUACGGGAGGCAGCAGUGGGGAAUAUUGCACAAUGGGCGAAAGCCUGAUGCAAGCAACGCCGCGUGAGCGAUGAAGGCCUUCGGGUCGUAAAGCUCUGUCCUCAAGGAAGAUAAUGACGGUACUUGAGGAGGAAGCCCCGGCUAACUACGUGCCAGCAGCCGC
rnacentral:rRNA from 1 species